GAUUCUAAUGAGUCCACCCUGAAAGUGCCUGAUCUCAGAAACUAAGUAGAGUUGGGCCUGGUUAGUUCUUGCAUGGGGGAACAAAGUUAAUGGGAAGUA
ensembl:rRNA 5S_rRNA 5S ribosomal RNA